UUCCAGACUCCUACGGGAGGCAGCAGUGAGGAAUAUUGGUCAAUGGGCGGGAGCCUGAACCAGCCAAGUCGCGUGAGGGAUGACGGCCCUACGGGUUGUAAACCUCUUUUGUCGGGGAGCAAAUUCCGUUACGUGUAACGGAGUCGAGAGUACCCGAAGAAAAAGCAUCGGCUAACUCCGUGCCAGCAGCCGCGGUAAUACGGAGGAUGCGAGCGUUAUCCGGAUUUAUUGGGUUUAAAGGGUGCGUAGGCGGAAUGCCAAGUCAGCGGUAAAAUCGCGGGGCUCAACCUCGCUCCGCCGUUGAAACUGGCGUUCUUGAGUGGGCGAGAAGUAUGCGGAAUGCGUGGUGUAGCGGUGAAAUGCAUAGAUAUCACGCAGAACUCCGAUUGCGAAGGCAGCAUACCGGCGCCCAACUGACGCUGAAGCACGAAAGCGUGGGUAUCGAACAGGAUUAGAUACCCCGGUACU
rnacentral:rRNA from 1 species